GCCUGUUGUAGCAGUUUGGCCCAGAACUGCACGUUUGGUGGCGGCAAAUGAGCCAAUCAGAGUCGCCGACCUAGAAACCAAGCGCACGGAUCAAUUUGGGCAGUCAGUACUCCACUCGGUCCAGUGGCAGAAGCAUAAAGUACUAGGCUUGUGGUCCAUUGAUACAAAAGGCCGAAAACGUGCUCCCCCCCCGGCAAGCAGUGUGUUGGCUCGGCGUUUGAGGGAGUGGGGCGACUGAUAGAUGAAAGGAUGAGCGGUCAAUGUUGACGAGGAAGGUAUGAUACGAGCGGACCUGCAGAUUAAUUCAACAGAGAAGAAUUAAAUGCCAGUCAAAGCAUAGAUAUCCAAUGGACUUGGAAAGGAAGCAUCAACAUUGGCGGCCUCUUGUCUGACUCGUAUAUUCCCCAUGAAGCUCUCUCAUCCAUGGACGAUGUUAGUUGAAGCUUACUCUGGUCUAUGGACUUUCUUAGAAGGAAACGAGGCCGACGACAGUUGUUUGGCCCAGAACUGCACGUUUGGUGGCGGGAAGUGAGAGCCAAUCAGUCGCCGACCGAGACAAGAGCACGAAUAAAUGUGGACAGUCUGUGCUCAGUCCAGCGACAGAAACAGUGCUCGGCUCGCUGUGCACAGACAAGUGCUUCGCUCAGUCCAGGGACAUAAACAUAAAUACGAUCACCACAGCAAGCUGUGUAUUAGUUCGGCGUUUGGAAGAGUCGCCUGAGGGAGACGCGUGGAAUUUGUCGACCUUGCAUUGGAAGACGACUUAAAAUUCAUUACGUGGGCAACAGCGCUGGAUGGUGCAGAAAUAUAGUGAUUCAGUCUCUAUUGGUUGCGGCAUUGAGGAAAUAGCUGGUGAUUUGUCGAUUCGUCAUCAUUCAUAAAGUGACGUAAGAAGUCAAUCGGCGAUGAAGAUGGUCCAAUUUUUCUUGGCAGAAAUUGUUCAGUGUGAAAAAUUUAGAUAGCGAAGCUUAAUUAGUUGAAUGGUACUUGUAAAUAAAUCUUGUAUGAGGACCAACAUCUUGCUACUAAUAAAGGAAAUACCUGGUACAUGUAAUUAAAGUAUUAGAUGUAUUGUCUAAAAUCAGAGUUAGCGUUUUCACUUUACGUACAUGUAAAAAGUAUUUAUUUUGCCCUAUAUUAACUUUCUUGCCAUGGUGACUUUUGAUAAUACUUUAUUUACCCUGCAAAGGUCAAUAUUUAAAUGUCUCAAGUGUUAAAUUACUAAAAUCUGUAAUGUUUUAAGUAUGGUAGGCAGUGUAAACAGUGGUUGUUACCAGUAAUUAUAAUUCAAUUCUGGGGCCCCUCUAAUAUUUGAGAGGGCUCCUUGGUGCUGCGUAUUGGAAAGGGCUCGUAUUACCAUUCUUGGUGAUAUUUAGCGCCCUCUGAUUCUCCCGCACAUUUGAUGGUGCUACAUAGCCUUCCCGGUUUGGUGCCUUCUUUUGAUAAUUACUUACUUGAUAAUUACCUUACCUUCAGGUAGUACAUUGACCUACAUACAAGUAGGCAACAUAUACCUACCUACAUUAAUAGUAGGUACAACAGAAAAGUUACCUACUAUUGGUGGCAACACUUGGCUUGCAAUGCCAAGUGUUGUAACGCCUAGCUUGUAAGUGGGAGCUAAGUUUCAGGUCUGUGUCCGUCCUAUUUCCGUUUCCCCCCCCCCCCUGUUACCUUGACCCCCUCCUUGUUGCCCCAUGAAUCUUCCCAUUGUGAUAAUAAAGAGGUACACGAA
rnacentral:lncRNA from 1 species